UACGGAGGGUGCAAGCGUUAUCCGGAUUUAUUGGGUUUAAAGGGUCCGUAGGCGGAUCUGUAAGUCAGUGGUGAAAUCUCCGAGCUUAACUCGGAAACUGCCGUUGAUACUAUUUGUCUUGAAUAUUGUGGAGGUAAGCGGAAUAUGUCAUGUAGCGGUGAAAUGCUUAGAUAUGACAUAGAACACCAAUUGCGAAGGCAGCUUACUACACAACGAUUGACGCUGAGGCACGAAAGCGUGGGGAGCAAACAGG
rnacentral:rRNA from 1 species